rnacentral:tRNA from 1 species
GGGUAUAUAGCUCACUGGUAGAGCACGUGCUUAGCAUGCCCGAGGUCCUAGGUUCAAUCCCCAGUACCUCCA